AUAGAUAAUAAUAGUCAAUGACUCAAUGCUACGGUUAGACAUCAGGAAGCACAGGAUACAAAUAGAAUGUUAAAAGUGUAUUAUAGGAAGAGGGGUACAAAUAGGAAUUAAACCUAUUUUAUCCUUUGACCUAUUAGUUAGGUUUUUAGUAACAAUUAGUUAGUUAUGGCUUUCUUUAAAUAAGUCCUCUAUUUAGGACAGUGUUGUCAAAUGGCGGUUAUGGCAGCGCCAUAACAACGCUAUAGUGGUAUGGCGCCAGCCAUUAUGGCCAUUUUGCAUAUGGCGGUAACGCCAUGACGAUUUACAGUGGUCAUGGUAGUCAUGGCGCCUGUUUUGGGUUUUUUUUCUUCCAUUUUUUCAGCGUGCCUCCUCCGACGAGUUCUACCUUUGCCGCCCGCCUUCAACGCGACCACCACCGCGCACACGAUUUUGCUCCGCUUCUUCUCCCUCUGCACGCGAUUAUGCUCUACUUCUUCUCCCUCUGCGCACGAUUCUCUCCUUCUCCCUCCGCAUGUGAUUCUGCUCCACUCCUUCUCCCUCUACGUGCAAUUCUGCAUCUUCUCCCUUCGUGUUUUGCUAUUUUUUUACAUUGUUUCUUUGUUUUGAUGGCUAUUUAAUCCUUUUGUUGGUUAGGAAUUUAUGUCUUUUUAUGAUGACUGCCAUAAAUUUUAGAUUGUUAUAUUGUUGGUUUUAAUAUAUGUGUUGGUUAUUUUUC